GACACACACUGCCUGUUCCUCCCCACUGCCAUUGUCCUGGAGGGGAUGGAGCAGAGAAAUGAGGAAGGCGUUGGUGGUACCACUCUUUGCCAACCGGAUCCUUGCUGAACGCACCUUCUACAGAGAGGAGAGAAAGAGUCAGACUUAUUUAAAAGUUUCUCCAACUUGGCCAUUUCUGGCUCUGUAAUGUGUCAUCUCAGACUGUGUUCUCAAACUAGAAGACAUGAGCAGCUUCCCAGCCUCCAAAGGUUAUUGUGAAGACUGAAUAGGGUAAAAGGCAUCAAAUUAUCCUAUUCCAAUCCAUUCUCAAGGCUCAAUGUUCAUUUGUCAAUGUAAUCCUGAACUUCCAACCAGAAUUAAUUUCUACUCCUUAGAAACCUCAAAUGAAUUUUCUGUACUUCUAUUAAAGCACUGAGUGAGCCCAAUUCAUCCACUCAACAGAUACUGAGCAGCAACUGUAUACCUAAUCCCGGUGGUGGAAAUUAGAAAAGGCUCACAGUCUCUGCUCUAGACGGUGUCUUUAAGAGCAACAUGAGUUUGGUGGUCCAUUUGAUGUUUUUAUCCCAAGCAUUUCCUCUCCAGGACUAGCAGUCAAAAAAAAUCAUGCUAAAACUAUCUUGGUCUGGGGAGCCACAGGGGUAGUGCCCCACAGAGCAGAUGAUUCUAGAGGGUUGAGAGCUGUGGGUGCUCAAGAUGGAAAAGGGGGUGGUAGAAAAGCAAUACCUAUUUAUCUUGCAUGAGAAACUUCCAGAGAACUUUCACAACUGUCAGAACUGUCAAACUGUCACUGAAGCUCCUAUAAACGGAUCAUCAUUUCUCAUUUUACAGAGAAGAAAAGAGGCCCAGAGACCACAAGGCCAACAGGAAGAGUACAGCUAAGACAAUGCUUGAACCCAAGUCUCGAUGUGAAAAAUCAAGGCAUUGUCAAAGCUGGAUGGAAUUUGAAGAUUAGUCCAAGUUCUUCCGUUUUUACAGAUGAGCAAACUGAAGCUGAAAUAGAGAGAGAUUAUUUACCUAACCUUCUUUUAUAAAAGUGGUGAAUGUAAUUGCCUGAUAGGGCAGUUCCUAAUAUAGGGUC